CCUACGGGAGACAGCAGUGGGGAAUAUUGCACAAUGGGGGAAACCCUGAUGCAGCAACGCCGCGUGAGUGAAGAAGUAUUUCGGUAUGUAAAGCUCUAUCAGCAGGGAAGAAGAAAGACGGUACCUGACUAAGAAGCCCCGGCUAACUACGUGCCAGCAGCCGCGGUAAUACGUAGGGGGCAAGCGUUAUCCGGAUUUACUGGGUGUAAAGGGAGCGGAGGCGGCUGUGCAAGUCUGAAGUGAAAGACCGUGGCUCAACCGCGGAACUGCUUUGGAAACUGUAUAGCGUGAGUACUGGAGAGGCAGGCGGAAUUCCUAGUGUAGCGGUGAAAUGCGUAGAUAUUAGGAGGAACACCAGUGGCGAAGGCGGCCUGCUGGACAGAAACUGACGUUGAGGCUCGAAAGCGUGGGUAGCAAACAGGAUUAGAUACCCUUGUAGUC
rnacentral:rRNA from 1 species